rnacentral:rRNA from 1 species
GAUGAACGCUGGCGGCGUGCCUAAUACAUGCAAGUCGAGCGAACGGACGAGAAGCUUGCUUCUCUGAUGUUAGCGGCGGACGGGUGAGUAACACGUGGAUAACCUACCUAUAAGACUGGGAUAACUUCGGGAAACCGGAGCUAAUACCGGAUAAUAUUUUGAACCGCAUGGUUCAAAAGUGAAAGACGGUCUUGCUGUCACUUAUAGAUGGAUCCGCGCUGCAUUAGCUAGUUGGUAAGGUAACGGCUUACCAAGGCAACGAUGCAUAGCCGACCUGAGAGGGUGAUCGGCCACACUGGAACUGAGACACGGUCCAGACGCCUACGGGAGGCAGCAGUAGGGAAUCUUCCGCAAUGGGCGAAAGCCUGACGGAGCAACGCCGCGUGAGUGAUGAAGGUCUUCGGAUCGUAAAACUCUGUUAUGAGGGAAGAACAUAUGUGUAAGGAACUGUGCACAUCUUGACGGUACCUAAUCAGAAAGCCACGGCUAACUACGUG